AAAUUGAAGAGUUUGAUCAUGGCUCAGAUUGAACGCUGGCGGCAGGCCUAACACAUGCAAGUCGAGCGGUAGCACAGAGAGCUUGCUCUCGGGUGACGAGCGGCGGACGGGUGAGUAAUGUCUGGGAAACUGCCUGAUGGAGGGGGAUAACUACUGGAAACGGUAGCUAAUACCGCAUAAUGUCGCAAGACCAAAGUGGGGGACCUUCGGGCCUCAUGCCAUCAGAUGUGCCCAGAUGGGAUUAGCUGGUAGGUGGGGUAACGGCUCACCUAGGCGACGAUCCCUAGCUGGUCUGAGAGGAUGACCAGCCACACUGGAACUGAGACACGGUCCAGACUCCUACGGGAGGCAGCAGUGGGGAAUAUUGCACAAUGGGCGCAAGCCUGAUGCAGCCAUGCCGCGUGUGUGAAGAAGGCCUUCGGGUUGUAAAGCACUUUCAGCGGGGAGGAAGGCGGUGAGGUUAAUAACCUCACCGAUUGACGUUACCCGCAGAAGAAGCACCGGCUAACUCCGUGCCAGCAGCCGCGGUAAUACGGAGGGUGCAAGCGUUAAUCGGAAUUACUGGGCGUAAAGCGCACGCAGGCGGUCUGUCAAGUCGGAUGUGAAAUCCCCGGGCUCAACCUGGGAACUGCAUUCGAAACUGGCAGGCUAGAGUCUUGUAGAGGGGGGUAGAAUUCCAGGUGUAGCGGUGAAAUGCGUAGAGAUCUGGAGGAAUACCGGUGGCGAAGGCGGCCCCCUGGACAAAGACUGACGCUCAGGUGCGAAAGCGUGGGGAGCAAACAGGAUUAGAUACCCUGGUAGUCCACGCUGUAAACGAUGUCGAUUUGGAGGUUGUGCCCUUGAGGCGUGGCUUCCGGAGCUAACGCGUUAAAUCGACCGCCUGGGGAGUACGGCCGCAAGGUUAAAACUCAAAUGAAUUGACGGGGGCCCGCACAAGCGGUGGAGCAUGUGGUUUAAUUCGAUGCAACGCGAAGAACCUUACCUGGUCUUGACAUCCACAGAACUUUCCAGAGAUGGAUUGGUGCCUUCGGGAACUGUGAGACAGGUGCUGCAUGGCUGUCGUCAGCUCGUGUUGUGAAAUGUUGGGUUAAGUCCCGCAACGAGCGCAACCCUUAUCCUUUGUUGCCAGCGGUUAGGCCGGGAACUCAAAGGAGACUGCCAGUGAUAAACUGGAGGAAGGUGGGGAUGACGUCAAGUCAUCAUGGCCCUUACGACCAGGGCUACACACGUGCUACAAUGGCAUAUACAAAGAGAAGCGACCUCGCGAGAGCAAGCGGACCUCAUAAAGUAUGUCGUAGUCCGGAUUGGAGUCUGCAACUCGACUCCAUGAAGUCGGAAUCGCUAGUAAUCGUAGAUCAGAAUGCUACGGUGAAUACGUUCCCGGGCCUUGUACACACCGCCCGUCACACCAUGGGAGUGGGUUGCAAAAGAAGUAGGUAGCUUAACCUUCGGGAGGGCGCUUACCACUUUGUGAUUCAUGACUGGGGUGAAGUCGUAACAAGGUAACCGUAGGGGAACCUGCGGUUGGAUCACCUCCUUACCUUAAAGAA
rnacentral:rRNA from 1 species